UCAUUAAAGAUAUAGAAAUGAUGAUUGGAGCAAAAAGGUGGAUAUUCUGGCUAUGGUGGAGAGCUUGCUGGUUUGCCAUUACGCCUAUUCUUUUGAUUGCAAUUUUUAUCUGGUCACUGGUGAAAUUUGACACACCUAAGUACGGUGACAUUCCAUACCCGGACUGGGGAGUUGCUCUAGGCUGGUGUAUGAUUAUUUUCUGCAUUAUUUGGAUUCCAAUUAUGGCUAUUAUAAAAAUAAUUCAAGCUAAAGGAAACAUCUUUCAACGCAUUGUAAGCUGCUGCAGACCAGCUUCUAACUGGGGCCCAUACUUGGAACGACACCGUGGGGAGAGAUACAAAGACAUGGCAGAUCUGAAGAAAGAGACUGACCAUGAAGUACCCACUAUCAGUGGCAGUGGAA